rnacentral:rRNA from 1 species
GUUAGGAAUAUUGGACAAUGGGCGCAAGCCUGAUCCAGCCAUGCCGCGUGAGUGAUGAAGGCCUUCGGGUUGUAAAGCUCUUUAGUCCACGAAUAUAAUGACUGUAGUGGAAGAAUAAGCCCCGGCUAACUUCGUGCCAGCAGCCGCGGUAAUACGAAGGGGGCGAGCGUUAUUCGGAAUCACUGGGCGUAAAGCGUGCGUAGGCUGUUUUGUAAGUCAGAAGUGAAAGCCCAGGGCUUAACCCUGGAAUUGCUUUUGAAACUACAAGACUCGAAUUCGGGAGAGGAUAGCGGAAUUGUCAGUGUAGCAGUGAAAUGCGUAGAUAUUGACAGGAACACCAGUGGCGCAAGCGGCUAUCUGGACCGAUAUUGACGCUGAGGCACGAAAGCGUGGGGAGCAAACAGGAUUAGAUACCCCAGUAGUCC